AAAUCACUUAAAAAACGGAAAUCCGAUGCGAAAUAUGAUCCUCAAUAAUAAAGAAAGACAAAGACAAUUGUUUUUGAGAAAGCCAUUUUGAAUUUGGUUCUUUGUUCUUUGUUAAGAAAAAGUUAAAUCAGAUUGAUUUUAUCUGUAUGAUAAUAAUUAUUAAAUUAUUUUUGACAUAAAUAAUGGCAUGACAAUAAUUUUGAAUAAAAAAUUAACAAAAGAAUGUUAAUCUUCACGUAGAUGAUGAAAGAGAAACCACCACCAAAAUCUUGAGCACAAGUUCUCAAAUCGUCGACUCUCAGCAGUGACUCUUCACUGGUAGCUCUAAAAGCUCUCCUGUACUCCGUAGAAAGAUUUUCGAAUUCAUUGUCUUUAUCUCCAUGGUUACGAGAUCCCAAGGUGUCCUUCGGACUAUCUGGUACUCGCCUGCGUCUGUAGCGUGCGAGUUCGUCGACCGUGAGAGUCUCGAGAGCUUUUGGCCAUGGCAGUAAAUCUCGAGCCCUGGUCUUGCUGUCUUUGAAUUUUGACGGGACUACCUCAGAGUCUGAGGAGGACUUUUGAGUCCCCCGCAAUAAAGACCUACGUCUGUAAAUAAACCGGGUGGUUGCCCAGUGCAAACUGAGAUACCUGGUAAAGUUUUCCUAGAAGCAAACCAAGGUGGGGUCGAAGCAUCCAUGUCGAAGAACAGGAAGAGGGUGAUUCGUGAUCCAUGUCAGUGACCAGAAGUCUGAGAAACGGAAUCGUCAUUCAUCAUGAGUUACGGUGCUGCACUAAGGUUCAGUUAGUAGGGUCAGAGAAAGACCUCCUGACCUCGAUUCAAACAGCACCCAAAUAAAUUUACAUAUUUAGGGUAGGCGAAGAUAUCAUUGGCCUAUACAUGACCGACCAAAUGCUUGCUCCAAAAAGGCCAGAACAAAUCAGAAGAAAGCUAUAGUGGAAGAAAAUGAAAUGUUUGAAGAAAUAGAAGGCAUUUUAUUAGGUGCAGACAUCGCCAAUUAAGUUAAGGCA